rnacentral:rRNA from 1 species
GAGUUUGAUCCUGGCUCAGAGCGAACGCUGGCGGCAGGCCUAACACAUGCAAGUCGAGCGGAUGUAGCAAUACAUCAGCGGCAGACGGGAUAGUAACACGUGGGAACGUGCCCUUUGGUUCGGAAUAACUCGGCGAAAGCCGUGCUAAUACCGGAUAAGCCCUUACGGGGAAGAUUUAUCGCCAUUGGAGCGGCCCGCGUCUGAUUAGCUAGUUGGUGAGGUAAUGGCUCACCAAGGCGACGAUCAGUAGCUGGUCUGAGAGGAUGAUCAGCCACACUGGGACUGAGACACGGCCCAGACUCCUACGGGAGGCAGCAGUGGGGAAUUUUGGACAAUGGGGGCAACCCUGAUCCAGCCAUUCCGCGUGAGUGAAGAA